rnacentral:rRNA from 1 species
GUCGAGCGGACAGAUGGGAGCUUGCUCCCUGAUGUUAGCGGCGGACGGGUGAGUAACACGUGGGUAACCUGCCUGUAAGACUGGGAUAACUCCGGGAAACCGGGGCUAAUACCGGAUGGUUGUUUGAACCGCAUGGUUCAGACAUAAAAGGUGGCUUCGGCUACCACUUACAGAUGGACCCGCGGCGCAUUAGCUAGUUGGUGAGGUAACGGCUCACCAAGGCAACGAUGCGUAGCCGACCUGAGAGGGUGAUCGGCCACACUGGGACUGAGACACGGCCCAGACUCCUACGGGAGGCAGCAGUAGGGAAUCUUCCGCAAUGGACGAAAGUCUGACGGAGCAACGCCGCGUGAGUGAUGAAGGUUUUCGGAUCGUAAAGCUCUGUUGUUAGGGAAGAACAAGUGCCGUUCAAAUAGGGCGGCACCUUGACGGUACCUAACCAGAAAGCCACGGCUAACUACGUGCCAGCAGCCGCGGUAAUACGUAGGUGGCCAGCGUUGUCCGGAAUUAUUGGGCGUAAAGGGCUCGCAGGCGGUUUCUUAAGUCUGAUGUGAAAGCCCCCGGCUCA